rnacentral:rRNA from 1 species
CCUACGGGGGGCAGCAGUAGGGAAUCUUCCACAAUGGGCGAAAGCCUGAUGGAGCAACGCCGCGUGGGUGAAGAAGGUCUUCGGAUCGUAAAACCCUGUUGUUAGAGAAGACAGUGCGUGAGAGUAACUGUUCACGUUUCGACGGUAUCUAACCAGAAAGCCACGGCUAACUACGUGCCAGCAUCCGCGGUAAUACGUAGGUGGCAAACGGUAUCCGGAUUUAUUUGGCGUAAAGGGAACGCAGGCGGUCUUUUAAGUCUGAUGUGAAAGCCUUCGGCUUAACCGGAGUAGUGCAUUGGAAACUGGGAGACUUGAGUGCAGAAGAGGAGAGUGGAACUCCAUGUGUAGCGGUGAAAUGCGUAGAUAUAUGGAAGAACACCAGUGGCGAAAGCGGCUCUCUGGUCCGUAACUGACGCUGAGGUUCGAAAGCGUGGGUAGCAAACAGGAUUAGAUACCCCUGUAGUC